rnacentral:rRNA from 1 species
GGUGAACGCUGGCGGCGUGCCUAAUACAUGCAAGUCGAGCGAACAGAUGAGGAGCUUGCUCCUCUGACGUUAGCGGCGGACGGGUGAGUAACACGUGGAUAACCUACCUAUAAGACUGGGAUAACUUCGGGAAACCGGAGCUAAUACCGGAUAAUAUAUUGAACCGCAUGGUUCAAUAGUGAAAGACGGUUUUGCUGUCACUUAUAGAUGGAUCCGCGCCGCAUUAGCUAGUUGGUAAGGUAACGGCUUACCAAGGCAACGAUGCGUAGCCGACCUGAGAGGGUGAUCGGCCACACUGGAACUGAGACACGGUCCAGACUCCUACGGGAGGCAGCAGUAGGGAAUCUUCCGCAAUGGGCGAAAGCCUGACGGAGCAACGCCGCGUGAGUGAUGAAGGUCUUCGGAUCGUAAAACUCUGUUAUUAGGGAAGAACAAAUGUGUAAGUAACUAUGCACGUCUUGACGGUACCUAAUCAGAAAGCCACGGCUAACUACGCG